rnacentral:rRNA from 1 species
UACGAAGGGGGCUAGCGUUGCUCGGAAUCACUGGGCGUAAAGGGCGCGUAGGCGGCCUGGUCAGUCGGUGGUGAAAGCCUGUGGCUCAACCACAGAAUGGCCUUCGAUACUGUCGGGCUUGAGACCGGAAGAGGUAAGUGGAACUGCGAGUGUAGAGGUGAAAUUCGUAGAUAUUCGCAAGAACACCAGUGGCGAAGGCGGCUUACUGGGCCGGAACUGACGCUGAGGCGCGAAAGCGUGGGGAGCAAACAGG